UGAGGAAUAUUGGUCAAUGGGCGCGAGCCUGAACCAGCCAAGUAGCGUGAAGGAUGAAGGUCCUACGGAUUGUAAACUUCUUUUAUAAGGGAAUAAAGUCACCCACGUGUGGGUGUUUGUAUGUACCUUAUGAAUAAGCAUCGGCUAACUCCGUGCCAGCAGCCGCGGUAAUACGGAGGAUGCGAGCGUUAUCCGGAUUUAUUGGGUUUAAAGGGAGCGUAGACGGGUCGUUAAGUCAGCUGUGAAAGUUUGGGGCUCAACCUUAAAAUUGCAGUUGAUACUGGCGUCCUUGAGUACGGUUGAGGCAGGCGGAAUUCGUGGUGUAGCGGUGAAAUGCUUAGAUAUCACGAAGAACCCCGAUUGCGAAGGCAGCCUGCUAAACCGCCACUGACGUUGAGGCUCGAAAGUGUGGGUAUCAAACAGGAUUAGAUACCCUGGUAGUCCACACGGUAAACGAUGGAUACUCGCUGUUUGCGAUAUACUGCAAGCGGCCAAGCGAAAGCGUUAAGUAUUCCACCUGGGGAGUACGCCGGCAAUGGUGAAACUCAAAGGAAUUGACGGGGGCCCGCACAAGCGGAGGAACAUGUGGUUUAAUUCGAUGAUACGCGAGGAACCUUACCCGGGCUUAAAUUGCAGAUGAAUUACGGUGAAAGCCGUAAGCCGCAAGGCAUCUGUAAAGGUGCUGCAUGGUUGUCGUCAGCUCGUGCCGUGAGGUGUCGGCUUAAGUGCCAUAACGAGCGCAACCCUUGUUGUCAGUUACUAACAGGUUCCGCUGAGGACUCUGACAAGACUGCCAUCGUAAGAUGUGAGGAAGGUGGGGAUGACGUCAAAUCAGCACGGCCCUUACGUCCGGGGCUACACACGUGUUACAAUGGGGGGUACAGAGGGCCGCUACCACGCGAGUGGAUGCCAAUCCCCAAAACCUCUCUCAGUUCGGACUGGAGUCUGCAACCCGACUCCACGAAGCUGGAUUCGCUAGUAAUCGCGCAUCAGCCACGGCGCGGUGAAUACGUUCCC
rnacentral:rRNA from 1 species